rnacentral:rRNA from 1 species
AACGAACGCUGGCGGCAUGCCUAACACAUGCAAGUCGAACGAAGCCUUCGGGCUUAGUGGCGCACGGGUGCGUAACACGUGGGAAUCUGCCCUUCGGUUCGGAAUAACAGUUAGAAAUGACUGCUAAUACCGGAUGAUGACGUAAGUCCAAAGAUUUAUCGCCGAAGGAUGAGCCCGCGUAGGAUUAGGUAGUUGGUAGGGUAAUGGCCUACCAAGCCGACGAUCCUUAGCUGGUCUGAGAGGAUGAUCAGCCACACUGGGACUGAGACACGGCCCAGACUCCUACGGGAGGCAGCAGUGGGGAAUAUUGGACAAUGGGCGAAAGCCUGAUCCAGCAAUGCCGCGUGAGUGAUGAAGGCCUUAGGGUUGUAAAGCUCUUUUACCAGGGAUGAUAAUGACAGUACCUGGAGAAUAAGCUCCGGCUAACUCCGUGCCAGCAGCCG